rnacentral:rRNA from 1 species
AUUGAACGCUGGCGGCAUGCUUUACACAUGCAAGUCGAGCGGAUGAAGGGAGCUUGCUCCUGGAUUCAGCGGCGGACGGGUGAGUAAUGCCUAGGAAUCUGCCUGGUAGUGGGGGACAACGUUUCGAAAGGAACGCUAAUACCGCAUACGUCCUACGGGAGAAAGCAGGGGACCUUCGGGCCUUGCGCUAUCAGAUGAGCCUAGGUCGGAUUAGCUAGUUGGUGAGGUAAUGGCUCACCAAGGCGACGAUCCGUAACUGGUCUGAGAGGAUGAGCAGUCACACUGGAACUGAGACACGGGCCAGACUCCUACGGGAGGCAGCAGUGGGGAAUAUUGGACAAUGGGCGAAAGCCUGAUCCAGCCAUGCCGCGUGUGUGAAGAAGGUCUUCGGAUUGUAAAGCACUUUAAGUUGGGAGGAAGGGUUGUAGAUUAAUACUCUGCAAUUUUGACGUUACCGACAGAAUAAGCACCGGCUAACUCUGUGCCAGCCGCCGCCGUAAUAC